AAAUUAACACACACAAUGAGGCAAGCAGCAAUGUUUGGUUUUUGAAUAGGAACGAACUUCUUUUAUUGAUAGAGUACGUGAAGACUGAUUCUACAUUUCUACCUGUUGUAACGGAUGGACUUGGCAACACAGGUAUAGUAGUUUAUGUCAGAAUGUGAUGAUAGGUAAAGAAGGAAUGGAUAAUAGAGACUGAGUUGCAGAAGAGUGCUGAGAAUGAUACCAAGACAUGCACUGACUGAAGGAAAUUACGAGAGCAAGAAUCAUAAAAAUCAUAAAUGGUGAAGAGAACUAAGAGAGCUUUUUAGUAAGCGCUCUCUCCUUAUGAUAUUCGACUGUUAUUUCGAAGGCUUACCGUAUAGCAAAAAGAAAGUUUUGCUGUUUGUUAGUACCAGAGAUUACUUUUGGGUAUGCUUUUUCGAUACUUUAGUGUGUUUAUUUUUUGUCAUUCGUAAGGAACUAAGAAUAUGUAAUAUCCUUGUUAUUUUGUUAGAAUCUUAUUAAUCCAUCAUUCCAUUUCAAUAUACGGGAAAAAAUACAAACAUUUCGGUUCGUGUACCCUAUCGAAAUAUAUCCGAGUAAGAGGUGUCCAUUGUGAUUACAAUGACUUAUAAAUAUGACUAACUGGGUUUUUCCCCUUCAAGCCCCAAAGUUACAUCAGAAUUGGGCCUGAACAAAAGUAAAUCAUGGGCAUUUAAUGUAGAGUUACCAAACAAACAAUUUAUUCCCCCCUCCCCUAAUAUAUAUCUUCUUUUAACAACAUAUCCGAACCGUCCAGGGACUUUUUUAUAACUGUAUAACAUGACCAGUUAUGAGUUGUACAAAAAGAAAAUAUUGAACAUCUAUUUAAAAUGCAAAUAAAAUUAACAAAACUACAAAAAUCAGGAGAUCAAAAAUAUCUUAUAUUAAUCAAAAUUAAUUCAUUUCAAAAUACUCCCCCGUUCCUCUUACAGCAAUACUGAUGAUCAGACCAAUUUAAACCCUUAAUUAAUUAAAACCCUUGGUAGGUGGAUAUCGGACAAAUCGUGAGCACACUUAUUUAUUAUAAUACUUAAAUAUGAGAGAUUUAAUAUGACGCCAUGAUUGUUGAUAUCGGUCAUUUUGGGAGUCAUAAGAAUCAAAUUUUACCUCAAAACUAUUUUUUCAUGAAUGUUGAAGAAGACUUUGAACUACUAUGGCCGUCUAUUUGGAUGCCCAAGUGGACCUAACAGAUAAAAGGACUGAAAGUUACCAUUUCUAUCAGAAAUUUAUGCAUCUAACCUCUGGUUUAAUUAUAUAUCAGACCAUAAUAUAUGUUAAAUUUAUGCUGCUACAUCGUUAUACUAUAGUAUUUUCAUAGUGUAGAGGAAGAUAUAUAGAAAUAGUAUUUCUAUUAACCUUGUUAUAGACCAUAAAUUAAUUAUUACAUUUGCAACCAUAAUAUAUUUUUCAUCAAUUAUUCUACUUUUAUCGUCCUUAAUCGAUCCAAAACUAAAUUAGAGUGACAAACCAAGUCGAAUAAUGGGUUAUUUUUUGUACCAAUGUAUUAUAUUUAAUAAAAAUAUAACUGCCUUUUUA
rnacentral:lncRNA from 1 species